ACGGAAGGCAGCAGUGGGGAAUAUUGGACAAUGGGGGAAACCCUGAUCCAGCGACGCCGCGUGAGUGAAGAAGUAUUUCGGUAUGUAAAGCUCUAUCAGCAAGGAAGAAAAUGACGGUACUUGACUAAGAAGCUCCGGCUAAAUACGUGCCAGCAGCCGCGGUAAUAUGUAUGGAGCAAGCGUUAUCCGGAUUUACUGGGUGUAAAGGGAGCGUAGACGGCAAAGCAAGUCUGAAGUGAAAUCCCGGGGCUCAACCCCGGAACUGCUUUGGAAACUGUUUAGCUAGAGUGCAGGAGAGGUAAGCGGAAUUCCUAGUGUAGCGGUGAAAUGCGUAGAUAUUAGGAGGAACACCAGUGGCGAAGGCGGCUUACUGGACUGUAACUGACGUUGAGGCUCGAAAGCGUGGGGAGCAAACAGGAUUAGAUACCCUGGUA
rnacentral:rRNA from 1 species